rnacentral:rRNA from 1 species
CUUGACGAACAUAGAGCAUUGGAACCACCUGAUCCCAUUCCGAACUCAGCAGUGAAACGAUGCAUCGCCGAUGGUAGUGUGGGGUUUCCCCAUGUGAGAGUAGGUCAUCGUCAAGCUUCAAACAAACAACCCCUGCAGACAUCUGCAGGGGUUUUUUGUGUCUGGACCAGAAGAACGCCUUGGCGCUGCAGAACUGUAGGUGCGAAUUUAUUCGCACAUGAAAACAAUCGGUGUGCGAAUAAAU